GGGCCGUUGGCUCAGUUGGUAGAGCGUCUCUAUGGCAUAGAGAAGGUCGCCGGUCCGAUUCCGGCACGGUCCAC
rnacentral:tRNA from 1 species